rnacentral:rRNA from 1 species
ACUUAAGCAUAUCAAUAAGCGGAGGAAAAGAAACCAACAGGGAUUGCCUCAGUAACGGCGAGUGAAGCGGCAAAAGCUCAAAUUUGAAAUCUGGCGCCUGACGGUGUCCGAGUUGUAAUUUGGAGAGGAAGUUCCCGAAGGACCCCGCGAGCCCAUGUUCCUUGGAACAGGACGUCAUUGAGGGUGAGAACCCCGUUUGGCCCCGCGUUGCCCGGUUGUGGACUUCCUUCUACGAGUCGAGUUGUUUGGGAAUGCAGCUCAAAUUGGGUGGUAAAUCUCAUCUAAAGCUAAAUAUUGGCGAGAGACCGAUAGCGCACAAGUAGAGUGAUCGAAAGAUGAAAAGCACCUUGGAAAGGGAUUGAAACAGUACGUGAAAUUGUUGAAAGGGAAGCGCUUGAGACUAGGCACCCUCGGCCCGCAGAGCACGUGAGCUUCGUACUCGCGAGAGACUGCGGUGCCAGGCCAGCACCGGUUGUGGUGGCAGGAUAAAGAUCCGAUUGGGAAUGUGGCAUCCUUCGGGGUGUGUUAUAGCCCCGGGUCGUAUACUGCCGAUCGCGACCGUGGAACGCGUCCAAAAGACUCGGAUGCUGGCAUGCUGGUCCCAAGCGACCCGUCUUGAAACACGGACCAAGGAGUCUAACAUCUAUGCGAGUGUUUGGGUGUUGAAGCCCUCACGCGGAAUGAAAGUGAAAGGAGGUGCCAACCCCGCGAGGGGAGCAGCAUCGACCGAUCCUGAUGUUCUCGGAAGGAUUUGAGUAAGAGCAUAGCUGUUGGGACCCGAAAGAUGGUGAACUAUGCCUGAAUAGGGUGAAGCCAGAGGAAACUCUGGUGGAGGCUCGCAGCGGUUCUGACGUGCAAAUCGAUCGUCAAAUUUGGGUAUAGGGGCGAAAGACUAAUCGAACCAUCUAGUAGCUGGUUCCUGCCGAAGUUUCCCUCAGGAA